AUGCACGCUGGCGGCGUGCUUAACACCUGCCAGUCGAACGAUGAAGCCCAGCUUGCUGGGUGGAUUAGUGGCGAACGGGUGAGUAACACGUGAGUAACCUGCCCUUAACUCUGGGAUAAGCCUGGGAAACUGGGUCUAAUACCGGAUAGGAGCGUCCACCGCAUGGUGGGUGUUGGAAAGAUUUAUCGGUUUUGGAUGGACUCGCGGCCUAUCAGCUUGUUGGUGAGGUAAUGGCUCACCAAGGCGACGACGGGUAGCCGGCCUGAGAGGGUGACCGGCCACACGGGGACUGAGACACGGCCCAGACUCCUACGGGAGGCAGCAGUGGGGAAUAUUGCACAAUGGGCGCAAGCCUGAUGCAGCGACGCCGCGUGAGGGAUGACGGCCUUCGGGUUGUAAACCUCUUUCAGUAGGGAAGAAGCGAAGUGACGGUACCUGCAGAAGAAGCACCGGCUAACUACGUG
rnacentral:rRNA from 1 species